rnacentral:rRNA from 1 species
AGAAUCAACGCUGGCGGCGUGCCUAACACAUGCAAGUCGAACGCGAAAGUCCCGAAAGGGAUUAGUAGAGUGGCAAACGGGUGAGUAACACGUGGGUGACCUGCCUUCGAGUGGGGGAUAACGUCCCGAAAGGGACGCUAAUACCGCAUGACAUCCUGCCUUUGAAGAGGUGGAGCUUAAAGCCGGGGAUCGCAAGACCUGGCGCUUGAAGAGGGGCCCGCGCCUGAUUAGCUAGUUGGUGAGGUAAUGGCUCACCAAGGCAUCGAUCAGUA